AGCGAACGCUGGCGGCAGGCCUAACACAUGCAAGUCGAACGAAGUCUUCGGACUUAGUGGCGGACGGGUGAGUAACACGUGGGAACGUGCCUUUAGGUUCGGAAUAACUCAGGGAAACUUGUGCUAAUACCGAAUGUGCCCUUCGGGGGAAAGAUUUAUCGCCUUUAGAGCGGCCCGCGUCUGAUUAGCUAGAUGUUGAGGUAAAGGCUAACCAAGGCGACGAUCAGUAGCUGGUCUGAGAGGAUGAUCAGCCACAUUGGGACUGACACACGGUCCAAUCUCCUACGGGCUGCAGUAGGGGGGAAUCUUGCGUAAUGGGCGAAAGUCUGACGCAGCCAUGCCGCGUGAAUGAUGAAGGUCUUAGCAUUGUAAAAUUCUUUCACCGGGGACGAUAAUGACGGUACCCGGAGAAGAAGCCCCGGCUAACUUCGUGCCAGCCGCCGCGGUAA
rnacentral:rRNA from 1 species